rnacentral:rRNA from 1 species
AACGAACGCUGGCGGCAUGCCUAACACAUGCAAGUCGAACGAGACCUUCGGGUCUAGUGGCGCACGGGUGCGUAACGCGUGGGAACCUGCCCUUAGGUUCGGAAUAACUCCCCGAAAGGGGUGCUAAUACCGGAUAAUGUCUUCGGACCAAAGAUUUAUCGCCUUUGGAUGGGCCCGCGUUGGAUUAGCUAGUUGGUAGGGUAAAAGCCUACCAAGGCGACGAUCCAUAGCUGGUCUGAGAGGAUGAUCAGCCACACUGGGACUGAGACACGGCCCAGACUCCUACGGGAGGCAGCAGUGGGGAAUAGUGGACAAUGGGCGAAAGCCUGAUCCAGCAAUGCCGCGUGAGUGAUGAAGGCCUUAGGGUUGUAAAGCCCUUUUACCCGGGAUGAUAAUGACAGUACCGGGAGAAUAAGCUCCGGCUAACUCCGUG